rnacentral:rRNA from 1 species
GCUUGCGCAGCUACACAUGCAGUCGAGCGGUAACAGAUCCAGCUUGCUGGAUGCUGACGAGCGGCGGACGGGUGAGUAAUGCAUAGGAAUCUGCCCGAUAGUGGGGGAUAACCUGGGGAAACCCAGGCUAAUACCGCAUACGUCCUACGGGAGAAAGGGGGCUUCGGCUCCCGCUAUCGGAUGAGCCUAUGUCGGAUUAGCUAGUUGGUGAGGUAACGGCUCACCAAGGCCACGAUCCGUAGCUGGUCUGAGAGGAUGAUCAGCCACAUCGGGACUGAGACACGGCCCGAACUCCUACGGGAGGCAGCAGUGGGGAAUAUUGGACAAUGGGGGGAACCCUGAUCCAGCCAUGCCGCGUGUGUGAAGAAGGCCCUCGGGUUGUAAAGCACUUUCAGCGAGGAAGAACGCCUAGCGGUUAAUACCCGCUAGGAAAGACAUCACUCGCAGAAGAAGCACCGGCUAACUCCGUGCCAGCAGCCGCGGUAAUACGGAGGGUGCAAGCGUUAAUCGGAAUUACUGGGCGUAAAGCGCGCGUAGGUGGCUUGAUAAGCCGGUUGUGAAAGCCCCGGGCUCAACCUGGGAACGGCAUCCGGAACUGUCAAGCUAGAGUGCAGGAGAGGAAGGUAGAAUUCCCGGUGUAGCGGUGAAAUGCGUAGAGAUCGGGAGGAAUACCAGUGGCGAAGGCGGCCUUCUGGACUGACACUGACACUGAGGUGCGAAAGCGUGGGUAGCAAACAGGAUUAGAUACCUGGGGGAAGUCACA